UACGUAGGGGGCGAGCGUUGUCCGGAAUCAUUGGGCGUAAAGAGCGUGUAGGCGGACUGGAAGGUCUGGUGUGAAAGCCCGGGGCUCAACCCCGGAGGGUCACUGGAAACCGACAGUCUUGAAUCUGGAAGAGGAGAGUGGAAUUCCUGGUGUAGCGGUGGAAUGCGCAGAUAUCAGGAGGAACACCAAUGGCGAAGGCAGCUCUCUGGUACAUGAUUGACGCUGAGACGCGAAAGCGUGGGGAGCGAACAGG
rnacentral:rRNA from 1 species